rnacentral:rRNA from 1 species
GACAGAGGGUGCUAGCGUUGUUCGGAAUUACUGGGCGUAAAGGGCGCGUAGGCGGCCCGCUAAGUUUGGCGUGAAAGCCCCCGGCUCACCUGGGGAACGGCGCUGGAUACUGGCGGGCUAGAGUACCGGAGAGGAGGGUGGAAUUCCUGGUGUAGCGGUGAAAUGCGUAGAUAUCAGGAGGAACACCGGUGGCGAAGGCGGCCCUCUGGACGGAUACUGACGCUGAGGCGCGAAAGCGUGGGGAUCAAACAGG